UAGUGACGUUGUAUGUUCAAAGCGAAUUAUACUUUCGCCUUUUAUUAAAGAAUACGGUGAGCGCACAACAUGAGUGACGUACCUAUAUUUUUGAAGGGUUCCAUAUGGAACGU